GUUCUACUUUACUUUUGCUCUGAAUUUUUGUUCAUCUGUUUAUUUCUCCUUGGCUGAAUUUUCCACACAAUUUGAGUCUUGAAAGAAAAAAAAUUGUCCCAGCUAUUCUUCCUUGUGGCUCAUCAUUGCCAAGUGGCCGGGAAUACAUCAGUUCUGUAAUUUGGUAAAAAUAAGCAGGACAGUUGUGGAAGAAUUAUCAGUGGGUGAUGAGAAGGAUAAUUUUAAUAAUAAUCAUGUUUCUGUGCAGAGUGAUAAGACUUACCUUCCCCUGAGGAGUAUAGUUUGUCACUGGCAUGUCCUACCUUAAGGAUUUAUAAACACAAUUUCCUGGUCUCUGCUUUUGAAUUACCUAGUUGGACCUGGCUGCAAUGGGAUGGAAAAACUGAAGUUUCUUUUGCCCUGGGGCAGGAUCCACCCAACUCUUUGCCAGUGAGAAACGCCAUCGAGUCUGCAUGACCAACGCUGGAAACUUGCUGCUGUCCUUGGUGCACAUCCCCAGCUGGGACAACUCCCUGCACUGAAAGGCAGAGGUUCAGUGCACGAAAGCAUCUGUCUUACAGCUAGAUCCUGGCAAGAGAGCUGGCAAGAGUGUGCAGAAGAAUCCCAGCAGCUAUAUUUCUGUGCUGAGUUCCUGCAAGGACAGGAGGGGAUGUCAUUAUUGCUGCUGUUCCUGGCACUCUGCUCUGACUGGGAAAAGGGAGCGGCAGUUGCGCUGUUCUCACGGAAGGUAGUUGGGGGAUGAUGGAUAGAAUUUUUCCAAAAGGUAAUUAGAUGGGCAUGGUAACUAGACAGUCAUAAAGAUGCCUGAUCAUCUACUCAGAAAUGUCCCCUGUAUGGUGUGCUGGCCAUGAAAUGCUCUCCAAAGUUUAUUGACUUCAAGCCCUUCACCUUGAAAAAAAUCUCAGCGUACUUGCUGAGUCCUGCCUGAAAAUGGAUUUAGACGGUCUUGAGGAAAAGAUUUCACUUUCCCCCUCCCUUUCUUUUUUUUUCCCCUUUUUGUUUUUUUUUUUUUUUCCCUGGAGACAGCACAUACUUCUGCAGCUGCUGUUGAAAUAACAGCAUUUGGGAGCAGGCUUUUAAGGAAGCAGGAGAACAGUUGAUUCAUUCACCUAUAUGCAAUAAAGCAGUGUAUUUGGUCUUCAGAGUUUUUGACACUGAAUUUUUUUGGCAUUUAUGAUGAAUGUAAGUGGAUCAUUGGUGUGGACUGUUAACAGAAUCUCCUUUUGAUUGCUGGAGUUCAUGUAGCUCUUGAUAGACUCUUGAAUGAUAUCAUAUGAGGUCUGAACCCAUUUAUUAAACAAUAGAAAUAGUGAGAGAGUCAGGAUGUAAACAGUCAUCCCUAAACAUGAGCGUUUAUAUUCUCACUUGCUGUUUGAGUCUGGUUUCAUGCCUGGGAGUGCCCUCAGGUCAUCAUUGAGCAGCUUGUUCGACUCUGACUUCUGAAUGAUGAAUGUCUCCACUUAAAUUACAGAUCACUGCCCCGUAACAAAAAUCAGCACAAUUAUUGGCCUCUGCAGGGGCACCAAAGGGUGACUGGGCAGUGGUGGAGGGCUUCACCUGCUACAGCACUGCUCUUUCCCUGGCAGUAAAUGGGAAUUUGUCAAGCCUGUUUUGUGGGGUGUGUGGUGGGGAAAUUUGGCUCAGCUCUUGACGUUCUGUCUUCUUACUACAGACAGCAUUUUCCUGUCUGUGGUACUGCCCGUCAGAUUAGUUAGGGUCAAAAGCUGAGUACUUGGGGUUUUGACCUUUGAAUGAACUUUACAAAAAACAGAGGCAGGGAAAUCAGUUCUGUAGU
rnacentral:lncRNA from 13 species